rnacentral:misc_RNA from 1 species
AAGACAGUAGCCGUACCGGAAGGUGCGGCUGGAUCACCUCCUUUCUAAGGAGCACCACGAAAAGCACCCCAACUGGUGGGGUGCGAGCCGUGAGGGGUUCUCGCCUGUAGUGGGCGGGAGCCGGGUGCGCAACAGCAAAUGAUUGCCAGACACACUAUUGGGCCCUGAGACAACACUCGGCUCGUUCUGAGUGGUGUCCCUCCACCUUGGUGGUGGGGUGUGGUGUUUGAGUAUUGGAUAGUGGUUGCGAGCAUCUAAACGGAUGCGUUGCCGGCAACGGUGGCGUGUUCGUUGAAAUGUGUAAUUCUUCUUUGGUUUUGUGGACAGAUU